rnacentral:rRNA from 1 species
GAUGAACGCUGGCGGCGUGCCUAAUACAUGCAAGUCGAGCGAACAGACGAGGAGCUUGCUCCUCUGACGUUAGCGGCGGACGGGUGAGUAACACGUGGAUAACCUACCUAUAAGACUGGGAUAACUUCGGGAAACCGGAGCUAAUACCGGAUAAUAUAUUGAACCGCAUGGUUCAAUAGUGAAAGACGGUUUUGCUGUCACUUAUAGAUGGAUCCGCGCCGCAUUAGCUAGUUGGGAAGGUAACGGCUUACCAAGGCAACGAUGCGUAGCCGACCUGAGAGGGUGAUCGGCCACACUGGAACUGAGACACGGUCCAGACUCCUACGGGAGGCAGCAGUAGGGAAUCUUCCGCAAUGGGCGAAAGCUUGACGGAGCAACGCCGCGUGAGUGAUGAAGGUCUUCGGAUCGUAAAACUCUGUUAUUAGGGAAGAACAAAUGUGUAAGUAACUAUGCACGUCUUGACGGUACCUAAUCAGAAAGCCACGGCUAACUACGUG